rnacentral:rRNA from 1 species
UACGUAGGAUGCAAGCGUUGUCCGAAUUCACUGGGCGUAAAGCGCGUGCAGGCGGUUCGGUAAGUUGGAUGUGAAAUCUCCUGGCUCAACUGGGAGAGGACGUUCAAGACUGUCGGACUAGAGGACGGUAGAGGAAGGUAGAAUUCCCGGUGUAGUGGUGAAAUGCGUAGAUAUCGGGAGGAAUACCAGUGGCGAAGGCGGCCUUCUGGGCCGUUCCUGACGCUCAGACGCGAAAGCUAGGGGAGCAAACGGG